rnacentral:rRNA from 1 species
UACGAAGGGGGCUAGCGUUGCUCGGAAUUACUGGGCGUAAAGCGCGCGUAGGCGGGUCGUUAAGUCGGGGGUGAAAUCCUGGAGCUCAACUCCAGAACUGCCUUCGAUACUGGCGAUCUUGAGUCCGGGAGAGGUGAGUGGAACUCCGAGUGUAGAGGUGAAAUUCGUAGAUAUUCGGAAGAACACCAGUGGCGAAGGCGGGCUCACUGGCCCGGUACUGACGCUGAGGUG